rnacentral:rRNA from 1 species
GCAUCAGUAUUCAGUUGUCAGAGGUGAAAUUCUUGGAUUUACUGAAGACUAACUACUGCGAAAGCAUUUGCCAAGGAUGUUUUCAUUAAUCAGUGAACGAAAGUUAGGGGAUCGAAGACGAUCAGAUACCGUCGUAGUCUUAACCGUAAACUAUGCCGACUAGGGAUCGGGCGAUGUUCUUUUUCUGACUCGCUCGGCACCUUACGAGAAAUCAAAGUUUUUGGGUUCUGGGGGGAUUAUGGUCGCAAGGCUGAAACUUAAAGAAAUUGACGGAAGGUCACCACCAGGCGUGGAGCCUGCGGCUU